rnacentral:rRNA from 1 species
UACGGGGGGAGCAAGCGUUGUUCGGAUUUACUGGGCGUAAAGGGCGCGUAGGCGGCCAGCACAAGUCAGUUGUGAAAUCUCCGAGCUUAACUCGGAAAGGUCAACUGAUACUGUGCGGCUAGAGUGCGGAAGGGGCAACUGGAAUUCUUGGUGUAGCGGUGAAAUGCGUAGAUAUCAAGAGGAACACCUGCGGCGAAGGCGAGUCCCUGGACAACACCUGACACUGAGGCACGAAAGCCGGGGGAGCAAACAGG